rnacentral:rRNA from 1 species
UACAGAGGAUGCAAGCGUUAUCCGGAAUGAUUGGGCGUAAAGCGUCUGUAGGUGGCUUUUUAAGUCCGCCGUCAAAUCCCAGGGCUCAACUCUGGACAGGCGGUGGAAACUACCAAGCUGGAGUACGGUAGGGGCAGAGGGAAUUUCCGGUGGAGCGGUGAAAUGCGUAGAUAUUGGGAAGAACACCGGUGGCGAAGGCGGCUCACUGGCUCAUUACUGACGCUCAGGCGCGAUAGCGUGGGGAUCAAACAGG